UGGGGAAUUUUGGACAAUGGGCGAAAGCCUGAUCCAGCAAUGCCGCGUGUGUGAAGAAGGCCUUCGGGUUGUAAAGCACUUUUGUCCGGAAAGAAAUGGCUCUGGUUAAUACCUGGGGUCGAUGACGGUACCGGAAGAAUAAGGACCGGCUAACUACGUGCCAGCAGCCGCGGUAAUACGUAGGGUCCAAGCGUUAAUCGGAAUUACUGGGCGUAAAGCGUGCGCAGGCGGUUGUGCAAGACCGAUGUGAAAUCCCCGAGCUUAACUUGGGAAUUGCAUUGGUGACUGCACGGCUAGAGUGUGUCAGAGGGGGGUAAAAUUCCACGUGUAGCAGUGAAAUGCGUAGAGAUGUGGAGGAAUACCGAUGGCGAAGGCAGCCCCCUGGGAUAACACUGACGCUCAUGCACGAAAGCGUGGGGAGCAAACAGG
rnacentral:rRNA from 1 species